GGUUCUAUGUUCUAUAAUUUAGGAUCUGACCUGCUCAAUGUAAUAUGAAUAGCCGCGGUAUUUUAACCGUGCGAAGGUAGCAUAAUAAUUAGGCUAUUAAUUGUAGUCUUGAAUGAAAGGUUUGACGAGGAAAAUUCUUUCUUGUUUAUAAUGUUGAAAUUAAAAUUCCAGUAAGAAUGCUGGUAUUAUGUAAAAAGACGAGAAGACCCUAUUGAGUUUAAUAUUUAAAAUAUUUGAUAUAUUUGGUUGGGGCGACUUUUAAAAAACAUUUUAGGUAGAUCCAUUAAUAAUGAUUAAUAGAAUAAAUUACCAUAGGGAUAACAGCAUAAUUCAAUUGGAAAGUUCAUAUUGAUAGUUGAGUUUGUGACCUCGAUGUUGGAUUAAGAUUCCUUUUAGGUGCAGGUGCUUAAACAGGUAGACUGUUCGUCUAUUAAAUUCUUACA
rnacentral:rRNA from 1 species